ACAUUCGGGUAAUCGCUGCCCUUUUUUCAGAGUGGCAGAGGAAAGUCCAUGCUCGCACGGUGCUGAGAUGCCCGUAGUGAUCACGCCUGGUGAAACAAUAAGCCAGGGCAGCCGGAUCCCGGCUGACGGCAGGGAAAACAUCUACGUCUAACCGGAUAUGAUGUGAAUACCUUGAAAGUGCCACAGUGACGAAGCUUUGCCGGAAACGGCAAAGGUGGAACGAGGUAAACCCCGUGAGCGAGAAACUCAAAUUAUGGUAGAGGCACUCUUAUAGCGGAAAUGAACGCAGCAAGAGGCAGACAAAACGUCUGCAGAUAGAUGAUUACCGCCCGAGUACGAGAUCGCCUAUGAUCGCCUGUAGUACAAAGGUACAGAACAUGGCUUAUAGAA
rnacentral:RNase_P_RNA from 1 species